rnacentral:lncRNA from 1 species
AUGGACGCGCUUGUCCUGAUGGAAGCAUCUUCCAGGGUCAUGAACUCUGGGCCUGCAUCGAUGCACUGGGAGCUAGACACCACCAGCAACCUGCACACCGGGGCUCCUGAACGCAUCCGCACGGGUCGCGGUUCGGGGCGCGCGUCGGCGUCGUGGGAGCGUGGCGAGCAGUGGGAGUGCUGGUCGGUGUUCUUGUCUUGGAUGGAACGUUCGGAAAGGACCCGGCUAGCAGAUGUCAGGAUUCUUCCUUGGUCACGAGAGCUCAGGUUGCGUUCAUGCGUCAGGAACGUGGAGACCAUAAUGGUCACCGUCAGCUGA